ensembl:lncRNA
AAAACAUCUUGGUAUGGGCUCUAAAACCAGUUGGAUGACUACUGAAGACUGCCAUCUAUAUGGACACUGCCAUCUAUAUGGACACUGCCUCAUGCAUCAGGGCCAGCUGAGGGAAUGAAAAGCCAACAAACAAAUGAAAAUGAGUGGAGAGCAAGUCAUAGAGGGAAGAGUUCUUCAGGUUAACAUCAUAGAUCUCCUACUGAAUGUUAGAAGCCAAUUACUGAGGGCACCUUGGAAUCAUUAUGUCCCCUCUGUAAUGAGUCAGUAGAGGUGAGUUCCAGGCUGGCAUUGAACUCACAGAGACCAACCCACCAUUGCCUUUCAAGUGAGGAUUAAAGACAUGGGCUACCAUGCCUGGCAUGAAGAGGUCACAAGAGAGCAUUGGAUCCUUUGGACCUGGAGUUACAGGUGGCUGUGAG